rnacentral:rRNA from 1 species
AGUGAACGCUGGCGGUAGGCCUAACACAUGCAAGUCGAACGGCAGCACAGUAAGAGCUUGCUCUUGCGGGUGGCGAGUGGCGGACGGGUGAGGAAUACAUCGGAAUCUACUUUUUCGUGGGGGAUAACGUAGGGAAACUUACGCUAAUACCGCAUACGACCUACGGGUGAAAGCAGGGGAUCUUCGGACCUUGCGCGAUUGAAUGAGCCGAUGUCGGAUUAGCUAGUUGGCGGGGUAAAGGCCCACCAAGGCGACGAUCCGUAGCUGGUCUGAGAGGAUGAUCAGCCACACUGGAACUGAGACACGGUCCAGACUCCUACGGGAGGCAGCAGUGGGGAAUAUUGGACAAUGGGCGCAAGCCUGAUCCAGCCAUACCGCGUGGGUGAAGAAGGCCUUCGGGUUGUAAAGCCCUUUUGUUGGGAAAGAAAAGCAGCAGGUUAAUACCCAGCUGUUCUGACGGUACCCAAAGUAUAAGCACCGGCUAACUUCGUG